GCUUGACAUGGGCACAAAUGCGUGAGGCAGGCUUCACAG
rnacentral:SRP_RNA from 10 species